AUUUUCUGAUUUUUGCCUCUCUUUUUUGGUCCCUGUUUGAUUUGAUUUGCAAAAAGGCACUCCAUCUGGGAACAGCUUUGACAACCUAAUUCCAUUCUCAAAGUAUCCAUAUCAAGAAUCUGACUACAGGAGUGAGGAAAUUGUUAAGUCCAUGAAAGAAGAGAAAAAAAGAAAGAAAAUGGAAGCCAUUGCUGAAGACUUGUUUAACAAUGAAAAGGGGAGACAGCGUGGUACUGCUGGUUCUCUAUGAGGACUUCUUAGUCGUUGCUAAUAAAUAUGAGCUGCUAGCUCCGACAGGAAAAUAUAAGGGUCAACUACUUAGGCAUACUCUGAAAUGCCAUUUUUUUCAAUCUUAUAUAACAUGUUGAAAUCUGCAAAGUUCAUCAGAGAAAUUAUCCUGUCAAAUGGGUUGGCUGACACUGAAAAACUAAUCAAAAUGGAAGUUCUUUUCUGUCUCCAUCUUCGCAUAAACAACUGUAGUUUUUGGGAGGAUUAGUUGUAUUUGUUCUACAUCAAAUCAA